UACGUAGGGCGCAAGCGUUGUCCGGAAUUAUUGGGCGUAAAGAGCUCGUAGGCGGCUUGUCACGUCGGGUGUGAAAGCCCGGGGCUUAACCCCGGGUCUGCAUUCGAUACGGCUAGCUAGAGUGUGGUAGGGGAGAUCGGAAUUCCUGGUGUAGCGGUGAAAUGCGCAGAUAUCAGGAGGAACACCGGUGGCGAAGGCGGAUCUCUGGGCCAUUACUGACGCUGAGGAGCGAAAGCGUGGGGAGCGAACAGG
rnacentral:rRNA from 1 species